rnacentral:rRNA from 1 species
UACGUAGGGUGCAAGCGUUAUCCGGAAUCACUGGGCGUAAAGCGUGCGUAGGUGGAUGUUUAAGUGUGAUGUUAAAUCGUGGGGCUCAACCCUGUCGAUGCAUCGCAUACUGGACGUCUAGAGGACAGCAGAGGCAAGUGGAAUUGGUAGUGUAGCAGUGAAAUGCGUAGAUAUUACCAGGAACACCAAUGGCGAAGGCAGCUUGCUGGGCUACUCCUGACACUGAGGUGCGAAAGCGUGGGGAGCAAACAGG